AUAUAUUUUGAUUGAAAAUUAGAUUAAUAAUAUUUUCAUCAAAUUUCGAAAUUAUAUUAAAAUUCGUUAUUUAUAAAUUCGCUACUUAUAAAAUUUAUAAUUUUAUAAAAUAUUGAUUUUAAAUUAAUUAUCGAUCUAGUACUAAUUCAAUGAUUUAUUAUUUUGAAAGAAAUUGGACUCGGAGCUCAGGACGAACGAACCAACGAAAACCCUUAGCAAAUCGCGGAAGUGAGGUACCGCUGGGAUCGAUGGGAACGAGUAGUGGCGAGGAUUUCACUUUAAUAAUUCCCACCUAGUUUAUGCCUUAAGUUUUAAUAGUUUAAUUACAGACUUUUAGUAAUUUAUGUACCUUUAUUUUGGUAAUAUAAAAGAUUAUUAUAUUGA